GGCUGUUGGCCAUUUCGUACAGACGGAACCCUACAAUAUGUGUGGGAUUUCUCUGCCCGUCGCUUCUCUCACUCAGCAUCGUGGUUCUGAGGCGCACGCACGUCGCGUGUGUCAGCAUCUCGGUAGACACACCGCAUGCCGUGCGCCCAUCACCACUGACGACGUCACUGACGUCCUCCUUUGGAGACGGUGCCUCUGUCCUCUCUCAUCACGACCUUUCUUCCCUGAGGCCUGAGCCCAGGAGGAGCUGCGGAGGCCCCUGCUGAGGAAUUUCCCACCGUGCCGGGUGCCGGGUGCCAGGAUGAGCUGGCCGAGGAGCUUACCCGUGGAGGAUUCGCCGCGGGACACUUUCCAUGACGUCUUCCACGCAACCAAUAGCAGCGUUUUACUGGUGUGUGUGUUCAUUUCAUAAUGAUCACAGGAUGACCUUCAAUUUAUCAGAGCCGGGAGCCGAUAAAGGGUGAGAUGAGACUUAGCAUCAGAAUGGAGUCGCCGGUGGUGGCUCCCAGGACCUCCUCCUGACUCUCCAGGGCACAAGGAAGGAGUUCCUAAGGAAGUCUCUAUCUUCACAGGGUAGAAAAUACUUUACAAUGUAUCGCAUAAAGGCUGGGCAUUGGCAGUCUUCAUUCAAAGUUUCAAACAAUCACUUUAAUGUAUCACUUUCGUCGUUGACACUUGUUCCACUUUGGGACCAAUGGCAACACUGUAACACUAAGCGAGCUUUCCCACUUGGUGAAGGUGAGCCGGAGCAUCUGUCAGGAGCAGUGCUUGCAGAAUGCCCGAGGCGCGAGGGCCCGGGAGGAACUUGUGGAAGACGGGGUGCUCCCCACGUGGGGUGUCUUGGAGGAGCCCAGUUUGGGAAACGACGUGACCAUAUGCCCCUGACGUUGGGUGGGAGCAGGUUCCAGGCACAUGUGUCCGGCCCAGUGGCCCUGGGUGGGAUGAGGCCUGGCUGGUGUGGCACAGUGUGGGGCCGUGUGCUGGCUGGUUUUCUGUGAGCGGACCUGCGCAGGCCAGAAUGGAACGAAACAGAACAAAGCAAGAGAGGCCAGGGCAACUGCUUCCGAAUCGAUGACACAUUUGCAAGGAAUUCAGGGGAAAGGUUCAUUCCGGGUGUAUCUAGAGAUGUGUGCCUUUGGCCUCCACGGUUAACACUUUGGUGUCUGUGAAG